CAUCAGAUAACAAACAGAACACUGAGAUCACUCCUGGGUUUUAUGCUUUUUUUAUUCCUUGUUUGAGGUUCAUUAUUUCUCCUAGGUUUUUGUCAGCAUGAGCAUCAGUAAGAAGACAGGCACAGCAGGAAGCCGGAGUUGUGCCGUAGGGAUUAUGCUCCAGGGGACACUGCAUGCUGUUUUCUGAUAUAAUUAAUCAGUUCUCAUAAAUAAGAAGGCAUCCACUGAGUGUGAAGAGAUGUUCUUUGUCAGACUUACAUGUCAACUCCCGGGCUUUUUGUGCAAAGAGAAUCUUGGCUUUCAGUGAUACCUGCUAAAUAUUUCCUAAAGUGAAGCAGCUAUCAAUACUCUACAAAGUGAGACAUUUCAGCUGGGAACAGUGGUCCACCAAUACAGACUGAAAACCUGAAGAAUCUGUGCAUUUCAUAGUGAACUGCUGGGUAACACAUCACCCAAUGCAAUCUUCACUGGCUAUGUAGUACUGCUGGAAAAAAAAAAAUAAACCCACAAUUUUUUUCACACGGCUAUGAGCAGGAAACUGUGUCUGGAAAACCAACGGAGAUGUCUGUACUGUUUGGUCCGGCAGAGCUUGGAUCUGGUCUUCAGCAGCUGUUGAUGUCAGCUAAUAGCUUGCACACAAGGAAGACAACUGUGCCUACAGGAUUCGCCAUGUAGUUUGUUUCAAGUGCAAACAGGAGGACAGGAGGACAUUGGUAAAGCAAGUAAUACAUCAAGAUAUACAAAUAUCAAGACUGGCGUUAAGUGUCCCCAAGUCUCAAUAGCUGCAUUUGUGCUUAUUUGACAUUGAUAUAAAAGACAACGUACAGUCAGACCUGAGAAUACAGACUUGGACAAUUUUAUUGGACAAGUCAAUUCAUUUUGAGAAGUCAUUAGUCAUUGGGCCUAAGUCAUGCUGAAGGCUUCAUGUUUUAAAUAUGAAUAAAUACACAGUAGUCUCUGAAUGUUCUAGAUAGCACUUGGAAGGGAGAAUUAGUAUGGACAUUCUGUAUGGGAAAUAGAACACAUAAUUAUUUAAGUUAGGUAGAAACAAUGUUGUGGGUGGCUUCAGUUUUGCAGAAGUGUCACACCUGGGGUUUUGUAUUUAAUUUUAUUUCAUAAGGCAGCUCCUCAGCUAGUGGAGAUCAGAAGUAUUCCACUGUGAUCAGUAGAAAGAUCACAGAUCUCACCAGCUUGAACACUUGUUCAAGAGAUAGUUUGGCCUGUCGCUGUUGAAAACUGACAUGGAUGAAUACAUUUUCCAAAAGUGGCUUUUAUUUGCACAAGCGAGAGAUGUGUGUUUUGAGUUGUUCUUACCAAUUAUAGGCCUAAGGUGUAAAACCCUAGGUCACUGGUUCUGAUUUUAAACUUUUGAUUCAUAAGGAAAAAACAGCUCUCUGAGGAUAUACUAACAUAUGGAGACCAAUUAUUUGCUCUCAUUUUAGCUCUACAGGCUAUUAGAAAGUAAAAUAACACACCAUACUCUGGUUUCAAGGCAUGCAAAAUAAAACACGUGCCCAGUACUGUAUACACAGAGUGAAGAAAAUGUUUCAGGAGAAAGGCAGCACUUUAGUAUUUGACAUUGGUAAAUAAACAUUGUGGUAACUUUGA